rnacentral:lncRNA from 1 species
CUGUAGUCGAUUCUGUAUGCAAAGUAGAAUAUAUUACUGCAUCCGAUGUUGCAAAGGAGGUGGUGUAGUUGUAAAAAUUUAUCACCGAGUUUGGAGUUACAUCCUUAGUUGAUGGCUCUAUUCUGCUAUACUGUGACAGCACUAGAGCCAUAGCUCAAAUGAAAAAAUCAAAUCACACCAGCAUACCAAGCAUAUUUUGUAUCGCUAUCACCUUGCAUGUG